UUUUCAAUGAUUUAGGCCGAAAAACCACGGCCAAUUCUCUAUUCUGUAGGACAAUCUAUCGCAUAGAUUGCAUUACUGGGAUGAUUUGAAACCGAAAGAGACAAAACUGAGGGAAAAACAGAUCUGCAACAAGGAGCGACGAAACAGCCAGGCAACGACAAACAACGACUUCCAUUUCCUAAUGAGCGCUACUCUGACAGUAUCCCAUCCAUCUGCGCAAUUCCUGAUUGUUUGAACCAACUAUGCUAAGUAUAACCAAUAUUGGCUUUUCAAAGCUUAGCCUUGUUCUGACUAUCAAUCAGACCAGAUAAACCCUUUAUCACGUCUGAUGCUUCUUGAUCAAUCCUUUCUAUCAAGCUGGCACAUGUUGGAAUGUCAUCGAUAAGUCCGAUGGCGAUGCCAGCCCUGACCGUCAGUAAAGAUAAGAUUGCAUUCAAACUCACGACCAUAUCCCAGCAUCAUAAUCCCCCGUCUCGUAAACUUUGCGUCCUCUGGCGCCAGCAACAAGCUCUCGAAGAUCUUCAAAUUUGGCGCCUUGGGGUCUUUUUUCCAAUUCGACAACCCGAGUCGACACUGAAUUGCGAUAGACCCGAGCGGUAUUUCCCAGCGUACUAUAACGUCAUUCAGAUCAUUACAUAUCUUUAACCUGAAUGCAUACCGAAA
rnacentral:sRNA from 1 species